rnacentral:rRNA from 1 species
GAUGAACGCUGGCGGCGUGCCUAAUACAUGCAAGUCGAGCGAACAGACGAGGAGCUUGCUCCUCAGACGUUAGCGGCGGACGGGUGAGUAACACGUGGAUAACCUACCUAUAAGACUGGGAUAACUUCGGGAAACCGGAGCUAAUACCGGAUAAUAUAUUGAACCGCAUGGUUCAAUAGUGAAAGACGGUUUUGCCGUCACUUAUAGAUGGAUCCGCGCCGCAUUAGCUAGUUGGUAAGGUAACGGCUUACCAAGGCAACGAUGCGUAGCCGACCUGAGAGGGUGAUCGGCCACACUGGAACUGAGACACGGUCCAGACUCCUACGGGAGGCAGCAGUAGGGAAUCUUCCGCAAUGGGCGAAAGCCUGACGGAGCAACGCCGCGUGAGUGAUGAAGGUCUUCGGGUCGUAAAACUCUGUUAUUAGGGAAGAACAAAUGUGUAAGUAACUAGGCACGUCUUGACGGUACCUAAUCAGAAAGCCACGGCUAACUACGUG